GCAACUUUUUUUUUUAAGUUACCGUUUCUUAAACAUCUCCUAAAGAUUACCAACAACACAUAUGUAAGUUUUUCUAAGCAUUUUACAUAUAUGGAUUCGUUGCCUUCCACAACAAUCCUAGGACAUAGGUACCAUUAGUAUCCCCAUUAUACAGAUUAAGAAACUGAGGUACAGGGAGGCUAAGUAACCAGCCCAGGCAGUGGAGCCGGGGUUCAAACCAGGCAGUCUGGCUGCAAAGUCCCUCUUCCUCACCACCACACUCAACAUUCCAGGCACUGUGCUAACUGUUUACACAAAUCCUCUCCAUUUUGCAGUUGAGAAACCCAAGACUCAGACCAGUUGGGCAACAGCUGAAGGUCACAUAGCUGGGAAGCAGUAGAGAUGAGAUUCAAAGUCGGCAGAGCUCCAGAGUCUCUGCUCUCCCCCACACCCUCCUGCAACCCUGCCAGACGCUCAGGCUUCCAAAGCAAGUUUAACCAAUAUCCCUGCAUUGCCACGCCUCUUCAGGCAAGUCAGCUUCUCCCCGCUGGGCCUCAGUUUCACCAUCUAGAAAAUGACUGGGGGAUUGGCCCAGCUGAUCUUUGAGGUCCCUUGGAGCUCUGUGAGUCUGUGAUGAGAAAGGUGUGGUGCUUCUAGCUGAAAGGGAAGACCUGUGGCCUGGGAAUACCUUGGGCUUGGCUUGGGGUUGCAGCCAGCAAGGAUGAGGGAGAUGAGGGCCUGGGGAUGAAAUGAAAAGGAAAUUUCAGGUGACUGGAGAAGGCUUAUUGGCUGUGAACCUGGGAAGAGGGUUCAGAUGUAUGAAGCAGCCCAGUGCAUCUCUCGGAGGAGGGUAAUGUCACGUGCUUGCGAGAUGAGCGAAUGGGUGUCAUUACCAGGCAGCUCCAUUUUCAACGAGGCUCUUUCCACUUGGGGAAAUGGAUGGAAUCACCUAUUGCAGGGCAUGGCAAGGCCCCAUCUCGGAAGCAGAGAGAGUCCACACCAGACACUGAAUCUGUUGGCGUCUUGAUCUUGGACUUCCAAUCCUCUAAAACUCUGUUGUUUCCUCAAGGGAAAACUUUAUCUGUGUGUGGGUAAAAUGUUGCUCUCUUAACGAAUCGAAAGCAGAACAUGAGG
rnacentral:lncRNA from 1 species